rnacentral:misc_RNA from 1 species
GUGAAUCAUCAAAUUUUUGAACGCACAUUGCACUCUCUUCGGAGCGUAUGGCUGUUUGAGGGUCAGCCUACAAAAAAUCAACAUAGUUGCUGUUUUGCGGUGACAUUCGUCGGAAAUUGGGUUAUCUUAAAGCUUUGGGCUUUAUGCGGCUUAAAAUUUUCUUUACGAUUCCACGAAUGUUUCUAAGAUUUUAUUUCUUACACGUUUAUGGUAUCGAUCUUUAUUAGACGUGGUUGUUUCAUCGG